ensembl:snoRNA
AUGUUUAAAAAUGGUUAAGAUGGCUUUAUAGUUUCCUUGGCUUUGACACUGUGCUAAAGCAAUUUCUGUUCUUUUCCCAUGCACUGAAAGGAAUUUUCAUCCUCUUAAAUGUAUUCAGAAAGUUAGCACAUUG